rnacentral:rRNA from 1 species
UGCAGUCGAGCGGAGAAGGGAGCUUGCUCCUGGAUUCAGCGGCGGACGGGUGAGUAAUGCCUAGGAAUCUGCCUGGUAGUGGGGGAUAACGUCCGGAAACGGGCGCUAAUACCGCAUACGUCCUGAGGGAGAAAGUGGGGGAUCUUCGGACCUCACGCUAUCGGAUGAGCCUAGGUCGGAUUAGCUAGUUGGUGGGGUAAAGGCCUACCAAGGCGACGAUCCGUAACUGGUCUGAGAGGAUGAUCAGUCACACUGGAACUGAGACACGGACCAGACUCCUACGGGAGGCAGCAGUGGGGAAUAUUGGACAAUGGGCGAAAGCCUGAUCCAGCCAUGCCGCGUGUGUGAAGAAGGUCUUCGGAUUGUAAAGCACUUUAAGUUGGGAGGAAGGGCAGUAAGUUAAUACCUUGCUGUUUUGACGUUACCAACAGAAUAAGCACCGGCUAACUUCGUGCCAGCAGCCGCGGUAAUACGAAGGGUGCAAGCGUUAAUCGGAAUUACUGGGCGUAAAGCGCGCGUAGGUGGUUCAGCAAGUUGGAUGUGAAAUCCCCGGGCUCAACCUGGGAACUGCAUCCAAAACUACUGAGCUAGAGUACGGUAGAGGGUGGUGGAAUUUCCUGUGUAGCGGUGAAAUGCGUAGAUAUAGGAAGGAACACCAGUGGCGAAGGCGACCACCUGGACUGAUACUGACACUGAGGUGCGAAAGCGUGAGCGAGCAAACAGGAUUAGA